AAUACUUAGGAAUCUGCCUAUUAGUGGGGGACAACAUUUCGAAAGGAAUGCUAAUACCGCAUACGCCCUACGGGGGAAAGCAGGGGCUCUUCGGACCUUGCGCUAAUAGAUGAGCCUAAGUCAGAUUAGCUAGUUGGUGGGGUAAAGGCCUACCAAGGCGACGAUCUGUAACGGGUCUGAGAGGAUGAUCCGUCACACUGGGACUGAGACACGGCCCAGACUCCUACGGGAGGCAGCAGUGGGGAAUAUUGGACAAUGGGGGCAACCCUGAUCCAGCCAUGCCGCGUGUGUGAAGAAGGCCUUUUGGUUGUAAAGCACUUUAAGCGAGGAGGAGGCUCCUGUAGAUAAUACCUAUAGUGAGUGGACGUUACUCGCAGAAUAAGCACCGGCUAACUCUGUGCCAGCAGCCGCGGUAAUACAGAGGGUGCGAGCGUUAAUCGGAUUUACUGGGCGUAAAGCGUGCGUAGGUGGCCAAUUAAGUCAGACGUGAAAUCCCCCGGCUUAACCUGGGAACUGCGUCUGAUACUGGGAGGCUCGAGUAUGGGAGAGGGAUGUAGAAUUCCAGGUGUAGCGGUGAAAUGCGUAGAUAUCUGGAGG
rnacentral:rRNA from 1 species